rnacentral:rRNA from 1 species
UACGAAGGGUGCAAGCGUUACUCGGAAUUACUGGGCGUAAAGCGUGCGUAGACGGUAGCGUAAGUCGGGUGUGAAAGCCCCGGGCUCAACCUGGGAAUUGCAUUCGAGACUGCUCUGCUAGGGUGCGGAAGAGGGAAGCGGAAUUUCCGGUGUAGCGGUGAAAUGCGUAGAUAUCGGAAGGAACACCAGUGGCGAAAGCGGCUUCCUGGUCCAGCACCGACGUUCAGGCACGAAAGCGUGGGGAGCAAACAGG